GUCUGUGGAUGAUAACCAGAGCCCUUUAGCUCUCUUUCUGUGACGUAUGUGGAAAUUAAACUGUUCACUAGCAACUCUGCUCUAGUGGCUUUCUAGAAAAAGGAGAAAAAAAAGUGCUAAGAAUAUCAUACAUUAACUAGACAUCAAACCACUUACCUAGAAUUAAACUAAUUUUGGCCAGUUUGGGCUAGGUGUAACAUAUCGUGCCCUCAGACAGAAAAAGGUAAGACUUCCAUUUAGCUGAAGUGGUUUCAUGAAGACAGAAAAUUCAGCCUUACUCCUGACAAAUGGAAGUUUGUAGUAUCUGAAUUUCCCUAUGCCCAAUAUGUUUCAACUAAAAACAUGCAAUUCAAGGCUAAGUUGAGCCUCUUACUUCAAUAGAAAAACAUAACUUGCUUUUAGUAAGUCAACUAAACAUUUAACACUCAUGGAAAUCUACCACCAUAUUAAGCAACCAAAAUACAGAGAAGUUAAGUCUGAACGUUGAGACAGCAAAACAGUUAUUUAAAGAUUUUUAUAUUUUCAAACCCAACAUUGUAAAACAACGUAACUUCAUACAACCUAACAUCAUAAAACAAAAAUUAGCUUAGUAACUAAAACAAGACCAACAUUACACUCUCCAUUUCUAAUCAACAUUCUAAGACAAGUUCUGAAAGAAAAAGAAAAUUCUAAAUCUCCUAAAAAAUUAAACACUUUUACUGUUGUAAGAUACAGAUUAGUUCAGUUCAACAGCAUUUACUGUAUGCUUCCUAUAUGCCAGGUAGGGUGUUAGGUACUUAAAGAUACACAAAAGAGAGUUUAAGUAGAUUUAUACUAUAUAUAAAUUGUUUUUCAUAGCUCUAUUUUUCCUUAUUUUGACUGCUUACUUUUACAUAUAAUAUUUGAUAACACAAAAUGUUCCAUUUUAAAUAAAUGAAAUUACAAUAAUUUUUUCAGCCAAUUAUGAAUCUAAGCACCAAAACUUGCAACCCAUUUUUAAACUUUAUUACAGAAAUUUUGAAACAUACAUUAACCCUCAUGUACCUAAUAUCAGAAACUUAGCUUUAAAAAUAACAUUCUAGUGCUCGCUUCAGCAGCACAUAUACCAAAAUUGGAACGAUACAGAGAAGAUUAGUAUGGCCACUACAAAAGGAUGGUAUUCAAAAAUUAACAUUCUACCAUUCUUACUUUUUCUAUAAUCCCUUCAGCUUCCCUCCGACCCCCUCUUUUGCUGGAGUAGUUUGAAGCAAAUUCUAGACACCCAUAAUUUCACCUGAAAACACAACAGUAUGUAUGUAUCCCUAAAAAAUAAGGGAUUUUUUGUUUUAAUCAGCACAAGUUUUCCUGAGCCUUCAUGAUUAUUCUAUUUGAUGCCAACUGUCCUUCUUCAUUACCUCAGGAUGCUCUUUAAGGUUUUGGUAUGUUGUCUCUACAUUUUUGGUUAGAUAAUUUAUAUAUGCUUAUAUUCCCAUUUAUAGGAAUAUGACUCCAUACCUGCAGUUCUCAGUACUCCAUACUGCAGUUCCCUUUAAUUGUAACCUAAGCAUUUUUGUUUGGCUAUUUCAUUACCUCCAACUUUAAAGUCUCAGAAAACACCAUUCUACAUCUGUUUCUUAAUGAGAAUAACAACAUAAAAAAAGGCAUAAAAGGAAAUUUAAGGAUUCAAAAUGUCUUUUAAAAAGAUAACAGCUGGGCAUGGUGGCUCACACUUGUAAUCCCAACACUUUGGGAGGCUGAAGUGGGCAGACUGCUUGAGCCCAGGAGACCAGCCUGGGCAACAUGGUGAAACCCCAUCUUUAUAAAAACAAAACAAAACAAACAAACAAAAGAACAAAAAAACCCAAAAAUUAGCCAGGUGUGGUGGUGUGCCUGUAGUCCCAGCUACUUGGGAGGCUGAGGUGGGAGGAUCACCUGAGCCUGGGAAUUUGAGGCUACAGUGAGCUGUGACUGCUCCACUGCAUUCCAGCCUGGGUAAUGAGAGUGAGGUCCUGUCUUAAAACAACAACAACAACAAAUUAUAGAUUUUGGAGUAUCACUCUAGAUUUAUGGUUCACAGAUUGCAUUUCAAAUUGAAGAUUGGUGUUACUGAAAUGUAUGAACUGGCUGAAUGACAAGGAAUAAAGAAUGGCUACAGCCAACAUGUAUUUUAAUAAUUUUUAACCAAAUGAGUCUAUGCAUCAUUUCCAAAUCCAUUUAGCUGCUUCGCAGUUAUAAAUGCAAACAGGGAUUGAAUACUCUCUAAAAAUUUCUAAAGACGUUUAAGAUAGUGUAAAAAAAAUAAAAACAGAAUAUUGCAGAAUCACCUAAGUGCUUACUAUCUGUCUCAACCAAAAAAGUAGUAUGCAAUGGUUUUAUUUAUAAAGUUCUUCCUCUCUCCAAGCAGAGCACUCAAGAAGACAGUGCUGUGAAAAUACUAUUGUGUCAUGAAAUUAAGUUUAUAGUGUUUCAGUCAUCAAUUUGGAAUUCCCUUAAUCAGAACACCACAAAUGGCAGAGGGACAGUGUAUGAGUAAGAGCUAUUAGCAUGGUUUUCCAUUUGAUUUUUCUUUCUGCCACUCAUGUCCUAUUCUGGACGAUAGUACAUUUUUCUCUGGAUGUUUUCCAGUCCAAGAAAAAUCACCUCUUCAAAAUCAUCAAUGACUCUUAUUUUUUUUCCACCCAAUACUUAAGCACAUAUCUUUUGACAAUACUUUUUGACUAAUCAAUGAAAAUGAAUAAAUUUAAAUCAAAUUUUCUCUUUAGGAACCCCCAGGUUUCUAUAAUGACUCCACUGUAAAAUCAUUUUUUAGAAAUCCAAGAUUUUACUAGCUACACGUCUGCAAUAGAACAACUAGAUUAUCCACCCAAUGCUAACAUCCUUAAAAAAAAAGAAAUGAAAUUUUACAGAAUUUUUAAAACUAGGGGGGAAAACUUUUUCUAAGGUAUCAUUAGAAAAGAUCAUGUUUUUAAGAGGCUGUUUAAGAAAUCAAACUUAAAAACUAGAUAAGAAAUGCAAAUCCUGAUAAAACAAGUAGUGUUAAAAAUGCAGCAUGAACAUAAAAAUAAAAAUUUCAAAUUCUUUGUUGAUAUCUAGUAGAAAAAUUCAGUUAGAAAACUUUUUUUUUUUUUUUCUUUUUGAGACAGAGUCUUGCUCUGCUACCCAAAGUGGAGUGCACUGGCGCGAUCUCAGCUCACUGCAACCUUCACCUUUAGCAUUCAAGUGAUUCUCCGGCCUCAGCCUCCCGAGUAGCUGGGACUACAGGCGCCGCCACCACCCCUGGCUAAUUUUUGUAUUUUUAGUGGAGACGGGGUUUCACCAUGUUGGCCAGGCUGGUCUCAAACUCCUGGCCUCAAGUGAUCCGUUCACCUUGGCCUCCCAAAGUGCUGGGAUCAUAGGAGUGAGCCACUGUGCUUGAACAGAAGACUUUUGAGUGAGUAUUUUUUGGGUAGGUUCUUAGAUCUCUAAUACAGACUUUGAGUUGUUUUAGGUGCUGAUUAAAAGCAUAUACACAUAUUUUUUUUGUAACUAAAUGACUACAUGUUUUAAAUUAAAUUUUACCCUUAACAUUUUUUGAAUAUUUAGCAUUUCUUCUCAAGGAGCCCAAAAAUUUAUGCUUCAGCUGAAGACACAGUUUCAAAACUAAUCAAAAUGGGGCCAAUACAAUAGGACAUCAGAGCACUAAGUAGGUUCCUCUAUUUUCAGCAGUAUAGAACAGACAAAAUACUAACAUGUGGUUUCACGUGUGCCUACUUGUGGUAAUAUUCUUCUAUUUUCUUGUUCAUAUGAAGUACUUAAAAUGCAAAUUCCUUGGCUAACUAUAUUUAUAUUUUGCUGGUCUGGGGUGGGAACCCUGGAUGCCACUAUGUGGUUCACCUAGUAAAUGUCAAUAAACAUCACCUACAAAAUUUCUGAGUGUCAUCCUUAGACCAACAGCAUUGGUGUGACCUGCAAGCUUAUUAGAAAUGAGCCACACCCAGACAUAAUAAGAAAUUCUGAGGAUGGGGCCCAGGAAACUGUUUUAAUAAAUUCUACCAGUGAUUCUUCUUUCUAUCACCAUAUUACAGCUUUAAUUAUCUUUCUUUGGUGUUUGACACCCUAGCUAGGAACUGGUUAUGUGCUAUGCAACAUUAUGGACAAAUUCCAGGUUAGUGAUAUAUAUCAGAACUAGCAUUUUCAUGCCAUCUUGAAGGCCAGGGGUUGUCUUCUGGCAAAUGUGAGAAUUUUGAGGAGUAUAAACUGUUCUGUAUCUUAAUAUCUUGAAGUCCUUCCUAAGGACUUAAAAUUACGUGUUCUGUGCUGGAGUUAAAUUUGCCUAAGCUAACAUCAUGUGCUUAUAACAUGCUUUUCUGUUUUUUUUUUUUUUUUUCCUUUUUGGAGACAGAGUCUCACUCUUUUGCACAGGCUAGAGUGCAGUUGUGUGAUCACAGCUCUUUGCAGCCUUGAACUCCUGGGCUCAUGCAAUCUUCCCACCCCAGCUUCUGGAGUAGCUGAGACUACAGGUGCAUGCCACCAUAACUGGCUAAUUUUUGUUUUUUUUUUUUUGUAGAGACGGGGUCUUGUUAUGUUGCACAGAGUCGUCUUGAACUCCUGGGCUCAAGUGAUACUCCUAUUCUGGCCUCCCAAAAUGCUAGGAUUACAGGUGUGAGCCACCUUGCUCAGCCUAAAAUGUGCUUUUCAAUGAACACAGAGGCAUUCUAUUUUUUUUUUUUUUUUUGAGAUGGAGUCUCACUCUAUCACCCAGGCUGGGGUGUAGUGGUGUGAUCUUGGCUCACUGCAACCUCUGCCUCCUGGGUUCAAGCAAUUCUCCUUGCCUCAGCCUCCUGAAUAGCUGGGGUUACAGGCGCCUGUUACCAUGCCUAAUUUUUGUAUUUUUAGUAGAGAUGGGGUUUCACCAUGUUGAUCAGGCUGGUUUUGAAAUCCUGACCUCAAAUGAUCUGCCUGCCUCGGCCUCCCAAAGUGCUAGGAUUACAGGCAUGAGCCACUGUGCCCAGCCCCAUUUGUUUUUUUUUCAAGCCAGGCUUCAUCCAGAAAAAAGAAUCUGUAUCAUCCUUGCUUCAUCUAUAGAAAUAUAAUAUAAAUAAAUUUAGCAAGUGAUAUUUCCUCAAACUUGUUUCCUCUUUCCUCCUAUUAUCUCUACUCCGAUUUCCUUCUACUGUGCUUUUUCUAUUUUCUUAAAUAUUUAUGAAUCUCAUUGUUUCUUUCUCUCAACUGUAUGUUUUAAAGUUUCAUCUAGUUUUAAAGAUCUCACCAUUGUUACUCCCAUUUCAUUUUUCUUAUUUGCUCUAUUUACCAGUGAUGGAUAUUUAGCUAGGCUAUCUCCAAAUCCCCACUACUACAAACUAUGCAGCUACAAAGAUUAUAUCCUCAAAGAUCUGUUUAAAAAUUCCUCUGAGUGCUGGGUCAGAGGGAUUAAACACUUCUGAUUUAAUUAUUGACUGGUUUACAGAAUGACAAUAUUAGUUUACACUCACAUCGUAAGUACACAGAUAUCUACACCAUACCCAAUACUUGGCAUCAGAAAACUUUUAAAUAUUUGUCAUUUUGAUGGGUGAAAAAUUGUAUCUCAUUUACUUUCAUUUUUUUCUGAUUACUAGUGAGUUUGUCUAUCUUCUCAUCUACCUGUUAGCACUUAGCUACCCUUUAUUUAAAUUGUCUGUUAGUAUCUUUUACCUAUUUUUUUAAAAGCUAUUGUUCUUUGUUUCUGUUAACUUUUAGGAGUUCUUAAUAUAUUACAGGUAUUAUUCCCUUUAGGUUUUAAAAGUUCCAAAGCUGACAUCUGACUUUUAACUCUGUGUAUAGUUCUUUUAACAGAAAUCUUUAAUUCUGAUGUAAUCAGAUCUACUAAAUUUGAACAUUAUGUUCUAUGAUCCCUAUGAUGUAGUUAUUCUCCAAAAUUUCUACUAUUCACAUUUAUUUAUUUAUUUAUUUUCAGAUAGAGUCUCACUGUGUCACCGAGGCUGGAGUGCAGUGGCACGAUCUUGGCUCACGGAAACCUCCGCCUCCUGGGUUCAAGUGAUUCUCCUGCCUCAGCCUCCCGAGUAGCUGGGACUACAGGUGUCCACCACCAUACCAGCUAAUUUUUGUAUUUUUAGUAGAGGUAGGAUUUCACCAUGUUGGCCAGGCUGGUCUUGAACUCCUGACCACUCAAAGUGCUGGGAUUACAGGCAUAAGCCACCAUGCCCAGCCUACUAUUCACUAAAUAUAAGUGAAUAUUCACUAAAUAUAAGUGAAUUCAUUAAAUAUAAGUGUUAUAUUUCUUAUUUAGGUCUUUAAUCCUUCAAGAGUUAGCCUUUGCAUAUAAAGUUGAAAGUAGGGAUCUAGCUUUUUUUUCCAAAUAGCCAGUACUCCUACUAAAUCUAAAUAAUCAUCUUCUUUAAGCAACCUCACUACCUAGUUGUGCCACAUCAUAUACCAAGUUGUCAAAUAUACAUGAAUCUUUCUGAGAUUACUAGUUUAUACCAAUCUAUUUGCCUUUCUUUUGCUAGCAUUAUGUUGUUUUUAUUAGUAUAAUUUUACAGUAACUCUCAUUUACCUUGUAGGUCUAGUGUUCCUUCCUUCCUCUUUCUGUCAAAACUGACUCAGCUAAUUCUGGACCUGUAUUGGUCUAUGCUAACUUUAAAAUGAAUUUGUCAAGUUUCUAGGAAAAAAAAAAUUUUGAACAGGAGACACUGAUGUGCUUUAAAGAAAACAGGCAUUACUAGGUUAAGCCAUAUAUCACAUAACAAUCUUUUAUUUUCUAAUAAACUUAGAUUUUUUUUUUCCCAUGAAGGUUUUAUGCGUUUUUAAUUAAGUUAAUUUUUGUUAGACUAUUUUCUAAGUGGGUUUCUCAUGAUAAAUGGCAGGGGUUAGAAAUUUAUGGCUCACAGGCCAAAUCCAAGCUUGCCAUCUACUUACAAAGAAAGCUUUAUUGGAACACAGGCAUUGCCAUGUCUUGACAUGAUGUCUAAGGCUGCUUUCAUACUACAUCAGCAGUUAUAGUUAUGACAGAGACCAUAUGGCCCACAAAGCUGAAAACAUUUAAAAAAGAUUGCUGAUCUCUCGGUAUAGAAAAAACAACUGCUUUUUAUAAAUUAAUCUUAUAUUAGACAACCUUGCUGAAUUUUCUCAGUUCUAGUAGUUUGCUGUUUUGGAUUUUAUACAAAUGACUAUAUCAUAUACGAAUAGUGAACUUUAUUUCUUCUUUCUUAUCUUCUCCUCUUACUUAAAUUGUGCUCAAAAUUUCUCAAUGAAAUGUAACUUUUGCUAUAGACUUGAGGUGCACAGGAUGUAUCAAGUUAGAAUUUCCCUUUAUUCUUAGUUUUCUGAGAAUCUUUUCAUACAUAGGUGCAGAUCUUUUUCUGUAUUACAGUAAAUUAUUAUUUGGCAAUUUAUGACAUAUUACUGCAUAGUAUUUCUUAGAUUUUAUAGGGAAUGGAUAUUUAACUUUUCUAUGCUUUAGUAUAUGGCAUCCUUAUUCAACUAGUAGAUCCAGUGAAAAAUAGGACUCUUAAUUGUACUUUUGUCAUCUCUAGUACAGCACCUGUAUUCACCAAUAUUUAUUGCAUGAGUAUGGUGUGUUGGGUAUUACAUAGGGAAUUCUGUUUUCUUUCACACAAAGCCAAGUACUAAAGUUGUUGGAAUAAAUAAAAAUGAUAUUGUGCUAUUAGGGAAUAAAAGAAAAUAUAAAAUUAGUCAUCUUUUGGGCAAAAAUCAGUCAUUUUAAGUAGAAAAGAUUUCUCAAUCUUUAGAACUCAUGGGUUUUUUUUAAUAUUAAUCCACAAACAAUUUUGUAAUUUCAAAAAUAACUUAAAGAUAUAGCAAGUACAUAGCAAUCUAAACAUUUAGGAAACAACAGUGGUUCUGCUUUGAAGACUAAAAGUAAAUGUUCACAAAAAAUAUUCCUAUCUAAACCUUCAUCAGUUAUGAAAUCUCCAUAAUUCAACCCACAUGCUUUUAAUAUUAACAUCUUCUUAAAAGUUCUACUUUUAUACUAAGUUCUACCCUUGUACUGCAUCCAACUAAGUAGGGUAAGAAUAAAAAUCACCUCCAUGUAAUUAACAUAUUUAGGUGCCUUCUCAUGAUAUUUUUAAAUGGGAAAAAAAAAUUUCACGUAAGAUAAAAAAGGAUAGAAAACCACUUAUAAAAGGUACAUUGUAGUUUUAUUUUAUUUAUUUAUAUUUAUUUAUUUUUUGGAGAAAGUCGCAUUCUGUUGGCCAGGCUGGAAGUACAGCAGCACGAUCUCAGCUCACUGCAACCUCUGCCUCCUGGGUUCAAGUGAUUCUCAUGCAUCAGCCUCCCGAGUAGCUGGGAUUACAGGGAUGCAUCAUCACUCCUGGCUAAUUUUUGUAUUUUUAGUAGAGAUGGGGUUUCACCAUGUUGGCCAGGCUGGUCUUAAACUCCUGACCUCUUGAUCUGCCUGUCUUCGCCUCCCAAAGUGCUGGGAUUACAGGGAUGUGCCACUGCACCCGGAGGGCAUUGUAGUUUUAAAUCAAAUAAAGUAGCAGAUUUUUUUAUUCACUUGGUUAAAAUGUACUAAAUUGUUAUUAGUUUUUUAAAAAUAUCAUUAUUUUAAGAAUUUCAAAAUAUAUGUUCACAAUCCCUUAUCAGAACAUGUGAAAUUCCAAAGCUCCAAAAACUUAAAAAUUUUUUCACAGUUCAUUUGGUGGCAACCUAACCUGAACUGAUAUAAUGCUAUUUAUAGUCCUUAUUUAUCCCACUUAGUGUGAAUAUUUGCUGAAAAAAUAUUAAUGUGUUUGAUUAUAAAGAAGUGUCCUUUUGCAGAAACAGAAACAUUACAGUAAUGGAGGGACAUGUACCAUAUUACUUCUUAGAGCUUUGAGAAGUCUGUAUAUUUAAACACAACUGGCCUUGUGUUUUGAUAAUGGAGUGUAGAUCUAUUAGUUCUAAAACAGAUAAAAAGAUUCCUAAUUCUUCUUUCAUUUACCCUCAAAAAUACCUCAUAUACUCCUCUACCUCUAUUUGUUCUUUUUUAUUCUAAAACUUUUCAUUUGAAUAAAUAUAUUACUUUCACAUCAGAUUCAUUUUGAUAAAGAAAUAUUUUAAGAUACUUUUAAAAACCACGAAAAAGCUUCAAGAAAUUAAACAAAUGUUUAAUGAUUUGACUGUAUCAGACAACGCAACUUUCUCAUUUAUACCAUACAUUUAUACUAUGCCUUAAGAUAUUUGAAUUGGAGGCUUUUAAAAUAGUAACAUAUUAAUUAAGAGCAAAUUUAGAUAGCUUGUAUACUAAGAACAAAAUACUCAAAUAUAAACAAGGCAUGAAUUUCUGCAAUACACAUCUAGGUUCUUCUAUCAUUGUGGAUUUGAUUAUCUAGCAUCAAGGGCUUCAAAAUCAUACAAUAAGCCAUAAGAAGUGGGAGCACUUACUUAGGAGUAGAAGGACCCCUUGGCCAUGUUCCAUCUUCAUUUUUCUGUUCUAUCACUAAUACCUGCAAAUAUGACACAAUAAAAGGGUGUUUUUCCAUAACUCUGAAGUUAAAAUAACUUUAGAAGAUAGCUGGAUAAACUAAGAAACUAAAGUAACUCUGUGAUUAUUUAAAGGAAAACAGUAGACAAGGUGAACAGGUAAUCUGCAUUUCGAUUCCAAAGCUAGGCAGGUGAGACUAAAAGACCUCAAAUAACAAGAAAUCAGUAAUGAUAGUGAGAAGGAAUCCUAGAAGAUAAACUGUAAAGAAACUAUUGGUUCCAUUAAGUAUAAGAAAACUUAAACCAAGUAAACAGAAUAUAAAUUCCUUGAAUUUAGAGAAUAUAUUUUCUAUUUGUAUUUGUAGGUUGAACAGAGAACUCUGUAAAUAACAGAUGGUCAAUAAAUGUUUGCAGUUGUUAAACAUACUUACAUAGGAUCUUGGGUAACUUAUUUUUAUGCAAAUGCAGACGAAGGGCGACACAGAUAAUUCCAAAUUACAGAUUAUGUAGAAUUUAUUUGGGGUUUUGAAAUUAGUGUGUAUUUACAUUAUCACAAUGGAAAUUAUAGAAUCUUUAAAUAUACAAAUGAUAGAGUCCCAUUUAUGAGAAUCAGACUGAAGUUCUCUGUUACAGCAUGGAUGAGGCAGACAGAAAUCACCUCUAAUAAAUAAAAAGUAUAGGCUUAGGGAGAGCUAUACUUUAUUUUAAAACACCCGAAAAUCUUUCCUUAUAUCGUCCAGUCUAAUAAGUCUUUCUAGUUUUUGCUAUGGAUUAGUCUGUGCAAAGAAGAAAAACUUAGCAAAAAUAAUUAAAUUAGCAAAGGAAAUAUACGAUAAUACCAAUAAAAAGUUAAAAUCUACAAUUUCCAUUGAAAAACUGUAAUACAGACAAUAUGACGUGAAAUAAAUCCAAGGCAUUAUAAAUUUGAAUACAUUUCAUUUACUGUUUCAUUAAGUCUUUUUCUUAAAGUUGCAAUUUCAUAAACUACUCUACAUGCACUUAGUAAUAUAUUUUUGUGAACUAUAUGUUUCCAGGUCAUUUAUAAAUUGGCAUUUAGAGCCUAGCUAUGUAAAAUGUAAGCAUGUUUCAGAGUAUAUGUAACAAUAAAAUGUUGAUUUUAAAAAAAUUCAUGAAAUCUUGUUGUUAAAAGAGAUGCUAAUUAAAAUAUUAAAGUUAGCUUUAAAAAAUCUAUUAUUUCACACAUUAAAAAGUGUAUUUGUACCAUAUAAAAAAUAAAUGUACCAUGUACCUAAUAUACUGAUCCCUUCCUGAUCACCUUCCUCUCCCUACCUACUAGAGACAAGUAAUCACUGUCUCAAUUUUCUGAUUUUCAUUCUGAUAUAGUUUUAUAAAUUUAUGAAGAUUUACAAAGUAGAAUUUAGAGAGUGAUUUUUCACUUCUCCAGAAUGUUUUGCUUUACUGCAAUUUAUACAAGAGUAACAGUUACAUAUUAACUAUAUGUAUAAAUAUACAUAUAAACUUUACAAUCAUUUGAGGACUUAAAUCAGUUUUAAAACAAGAGAUUUUAGCUAUAGAAGAUUUCAAAGUUAUGCAUUUAAUAUAAUUAUUUAACCAUAAUGCCUUAAUUCCUAACAGUAUUUAUACUUAAAAUUCCAUGUUUUAAAAACCACAAAUACUAAUGCUGAAGACCAUCAGAAAGAUUAAAAUUCAGUCCUUUAUUCAAGUGCAUCAUUUUCUGCAUAAAAUUUUGUUAUAGUUAAAACUUUAACUCCAAAUAAAAAUAUUUUUGAAAAGAUUUCAAAAUUAAAAUUAAACCCACACAAAAAGGAGAGAAGAAAUGCUUCACAUUUUGGGAGGCAAACUCUUCAAUAAUAUGUCUUUGUUUUAUUUUCUAGUAAGGAUACUUUCAAUCUAAGUAUUAAAAAAAAAAAGGUCCAGGAGAGGGUUUAUGUCACUUAUCUUCUCUGGCUGAAGAAUUAUUAUAAAGUCUGAAAAAUUUAAUGACUAUUCUUUGAAACAUUCCUGUUUUUAAAGGUCAAGUCCUUAAGGAUACUUAAUCUUAUUAAAUUAUUUUCUCAUCUGCCAUCUGAUAAAUACAUACCUAUCAAGAACAUCAAAUUAUUUAACUUCUCUGAGUCUCAGUUUUCUAAUGUACACGAUGAAAAGAGUAACACUCAUUUCAGAGGAUUGCUGAAAAGGUUUAAAUAAAGAAUUCUAUAGAUUUCAAAUUGUACUUUUGGAGCUACCUCAAGGCCUAAUGGAUGAAAACCAAGGAGAGAGGUUAUGUCUACUGGAAGACAGAAAGAGAGAGCUGGCUACAUAAAAGGGCGGUGUUGGCUAAUCAGUGGAUUUCCAAGGUCCACACUUCAAGCUUCUAUCAGCUUCAUUUCCCUUUUAACUGUAAUACAUAUUGGAUUUUGUAAGAUUUCUCUUAAGAAUAUAAUGACUAAAAUAAAUCUGAAAACCACUGUAUUUUGACAGCCUAGUACAAUUCUUGACAUAUAGUGGGCAUUUACUAAAAAUUAAUUUCCCUCACUUUAUCUGAAUUUUUCCACAACUCAGAAUCAUAUUAUUGAUGUUAACAGUAAUUUUUAAACAAAACAAAAAAAUCUUCCAUUUAUCAGAGCACCGGGCAUGUUAGGUUCUGAAAAUAAAAAUAGGGUACAAAGUCUAACCAAAACAAGGACCUCAUAGUCUGGGGAGAUUAAAAUACAAAUAACUAAAGCAUAUAAUGAACGAUACAAAACAAAUAUACAUACAUCUUUGUGGAAGUUAAGGAAGCAAUUCUUUUCUCCAAAGUAGAAACAUCCUAUACCUCAAUGGACAUUGAGAGAAAUAGGGAAGGCUGAAUAGAUGAUGUGACAGUUGAGCUAGAACCUGAAGGAUGAAUAAUCUGAUACGGCUGGCCUACAUGAUGGUAUGGGAUGGUUAAUUUUAUUAUAUGGAUGGUUAAAAGGACUUUUUGCUGGAUGAAUACAGGGACUCCAAAGACGUUUACAUCAUCAGGCAGAUGGAAUAACACAUCAGAAAGCACAAGAAUAUGGAAUAGCAUAGUGUGUUCAGGGAACUAUAAGCAGCUCAGUUUGGUACUGCUUGAGUAUAAACCACAAAACAAAGAUAAUCUAGAGAUGGUGGAAGAGUAGGUACAAGGUUAAACCAUAACUUGCAUGCUGGCUUAAAGUGCCUGGACUUAAUUAUUAAGGAACCAGGAAAAGUUUAUGAAAGGAAGACAGUGAAGUUUACAUUUUAGAAUGAGUAUUCUUGCAAAAACAAGACUGUCCUAUGGUUAUCUGCUAAUAACAAAAAAACAAAGGAAGAAAGAUUGAACAGACAUACAAGAGCCUGGAGAUACAGGAAUUUGUAAAGAGACUAUGAAAGAUAAGGGCUGAGAAUGGAGCACAGAGAUUACUUCAAGACACAGUUAGAAGAUAGAAUCAGUAGGACUUGCUGACAGUGACUAAACCUCUUCAUUUCUCAAUACUUUAUUAAAAAAAUACCGGCCGGGCACGGUGGCGCACACCUGUAAUCCCAGCACUUUGGGAGGCUGAGGCGGGCAGAUCAAGAGGUCAAGAGAUCGAGACCAUUCUGGCCCAUCCUGGCCAACAUGAUGAAACCCCAUCUCUACUAUAAACACAAAAAUUAGCUGGGUGUGGUGGCACAUGUCUGCAGUCCCAGCUACUCAAGAGGCUGAGGCAGGAGAAUCACUUCAACUUGGGAAGCAGAGGUUGCAGUGAGCCGAGAUUGCAUCACUGCACUCCAGCCUGGGCAACAGAGUGAGACUCCGUCUCAAACAAACAAACAAAAAAGCCAAAUUGGGAGCUGACACCUUUCAACAAGGGCUGGCAAACUAGAGUUCACUUAGCCUGCUGCACAUUUAUAUAAAUAGCUUUAUUAGAACAUAGCCAUACUCAUUUAUUCAUGUAUCAUCUAUGCUUGUUUUUGUGUACUACAAUGGCAAUGUUUUAGAUGCUACUUUAUGGCCUGCAGAGAACUGUAAUUUGUAAUAAAGAACUGUGUAAAUAAGAGAUGCUCCAUAUAUGUUUACUAUUUGGUCUUUCACAGAAAGUUUGCUGACCCACCUUAUAAUAUUAGCUGGGAUUUUUUUCUAAUUAAAAAUGAUUUCUUUUUAACAAGUAGAUUAUUCCCAAGCUCAAGGAGGGAAUCAAAAGUCAGAGUCAGUAACCAGCAAGGAAAGACAAGAGAUGAGUUUAGAAAGAGGAAGCCAGAAACAGUACAGCCCAUUAUAUAUUGCCAGGAUAAUUAUUAAAGUUUGUGAAUCCAAAAACCUUCAUGUAUAAUACAGUAUGCUUAAAAUAAACAAUACCUGUCCUUGGUAUAAACCAGCAUCCUGAAUGGUGCUGUCUGGUUUAUUCAGUGGUUCAAAUGUGUUACUCAUGUAUUUGUUCCACAAUCUGGUCUCCUUUUCAUCUGGAAUACUGAAGAUUUUUCUUAUUUCCUUUUCAAUUGUAUCUAGAUUUAAGGAGGAAAGAUAUAUAAAUAUAGUAUGUAUUUCAAAAUAUACCACAUACAGCUAAAUGUUACCAGCACAAAAAUUCUUUAAAAUACUAAUAGAAAAUCAAGACUAAAUAUGUAAUAAAUCUAUAAAACACAAACCAACAAAAGGGUUUUUAAGACCAAGUUUUUAUGGAAAAAAUGGUAUUUGUACUCCAACAAAUUACUUGGGGAAUUUAAAAUCUCAAAAGGUAAGAGUUCAAUCACCUAACACUAAAAUACAAUUUAUGCUACACAGGAUAAACUUUAAAUUUUAACAUACUAUAAUUCAAAUAUUUUCUGAGGAGAUGUAGGAAUUAGAAAUUAAAGUAUGAUUAAGAGAUGUUACAGAUUUUUUUUAGUGUGCAAAAUUUUUUAAGUACCACAUAAGCAAUUUAAAAAUAAUUUAUAUUAAACUGAACAGCUCACUAGAAUAUAUGGACACAAUAAAAAAGAAAGUGCCUUGUUUGAAGGGAUGUCUGUAUUCACCAAAAUUUAGUAUUUUCAAAGUAAAGUCACGUCUUUUUCUGAUUUCUAAAUCAAUUUACUGAAAUUUCAUCUAGUUCUGGUCAAUAACUUGCCUAAUCAACUCAAGAAAAUAGUAAUCAAAAUAUUUUAUGAUAUAUGAAUACAGAAUACUUUUAGAUUUUAGAAUAGUUGUAGUUUUGAAAAAAUUUAUAAAAUAUUAAACUUAAUAAUAUACGUUCUCCGAAGAAAUAUGAAAACCCACAUCUAUCCUACAUAAUUUAGUCCAAUAAUACUAUCUACUUAGCAGCUAAUGUUUUGUAAUAGUCUUGUAGUCAGUAAGGUUUUGAUAAGGGCAUUAAAUCAGUAGGAAAAAAAGGCACUAAUUCAAAAUAUCAACAGCGUUAUCUCAAAACUUAAAGCAAAUCACCCAGAAUAUUUAAAUAAUUACAUAAAAUAAAUAUACUGUUAGUACUUGUAUUAGUCUGUUCUCACACUGCUAUAGAGAACUACCUGAGACUGGGUAACUUAUGAAGAAAAGAGGUUUAAUUGACUUACAGUUCCAUGGGCUGUACAAGAAGCAUGGCUAGGAGGCCUCAGGAAACUUACAAUCAUGGUGGAAGGCGAAGGGGAAGCAAGCACAUCUUAUCAUGGAGGAGCAGGAGAGAGUGCGAAGGGGGAAGUGCUACACACAAACAACCGUAUCUCAUGAGAACUCAUUCACUAUCACAAGAACAGCAAGGGGGAAAUCUGCCUCUAUGAUCUAAACACCUCCCAGCAGGCACCUCCUCCAACACAUGGGGGAUUACAAUUUGACAUGAGAUUUGGGUGGGAACACAUAGCCAAGCCUUAUCAGUACUGCUUUCUACUUUGGCAGGGUUGUAUUUUUUUCUUUUUGUUCUUUUUAUUAAAGUGAACAUGUAUACAGAAACAUGCACUAAUCAUCAGUAUCUUGUGAUAAAUUUCCAAAGUGGACACACCCAUGUAAAUUGCACCAAGAUCAAGAAACAAAACAUUACCUAGAAAGAGGAUAAAGGAAGAAGCCAAGGAAGGGAGCUGUUUUAAUCUUUCUAUAAAAAUGAAUAAAUGUUUCCUGAGGGCAGAAAUAAUUUUUGCUUUUGGCAAAAAUACCAAAAAUACUGACAAAUAUAAAUAAAAUGUCUACCUAGAUAUAACCACUGUUGACAUUCUGAUAUUUCUUCUAGAUGUUUUUUCUAUUAAUACAGGCAUCUGUGUACAUAACAUGUUAUAAACAAAUGUGGAAAUUUCCUCUUCAUUGAGUUUUGUGAUCUAAUUUACAUAUGGGGGAACAUUACAGGCAUAGGGGUAGUAACGCAAAAGCCUUGAGGUGCAAAUGUGCUUGGCAUGUUUUAGAAUAGCCUGAUACAUCAAUGUGGCUGAAGUAGAAUAAGUGAGGUAGAAAUGAGACUAUAAAGGUACUUCUGUAGGAUUAUAUACACUUCUGUGACCUAUCAAAGUAUUUAUAUUUUAAUCUGAGCAAAAGAGAAAGCUAUUGAGGAGUUGGGAAGAGAAGUGGCAUGAUAUGACUGACAUUUUAAAUGUUCACUUUUGCUGGUAGUGAAGAACACUGCAGAAGGUCUGAUAAGGUUUGGCUCUGUGUCCCCACCCAAAUCUCAUGCCAAAUUGUAAUCCCCAGUGUUUGAGGAGGCACCUGGUGGGAGAUGACUGGAUCAUGGGGGCAGAUUUCCCCCUUGCUGUUCCCAUGACAGUGAGUGAGUUCUCAUGUGAUCUGGUUGUUUGAAAGUGUGUAGCACUUCCCCCUUUGCUCUCUCUCUCUUGCUAUGCCACGGUAAGAUGUGGUUGCUUCCCCUUUGCCUUCCACCAUGACUGUUAAGUUUCCUGAGGCCUUCUAGCCAUGCUUCCUGUACGGCCUAUGGAACUGUAAGUCAAUUAAACCUCUUUUCUUCAUAAAUUACCUAGUCUCCAGUAGUUCUUUAUAGCAGUGCGAGAAUGGACUAAUUCAAGGUCAAAGGUGGGAAACUAGGUUACUGCAACAAUCCUAACCAAAGUGGUAGCAAUGGAAGCAGUGUUAAGUGGUCUGACUGAGAAUAAAUUCUGAAGGAAUUGCUAAGAAGAUAUGCUGCUAGAUUACAUGAAGGGUGAGAAAUAAAAGAAUCAGAAAUGAUUUUUGGCCUAAGCAAUUGGAAGAGCAGAAGUGGGAAUUAUGGAGAUAAGGAAGAAUGACAGAGCCUAAGGUUUUUUGGGAAAGGGAGCUUAGUUUUAUAUCUGAUAGUCUUCUUGAGAAGCCUGUCAGAUAUACAAAUGAAGAUAUGGGAUAGUUCAAACUGGAAUUAUGGGAGACUUCAGGGCAGGACCUAUCAACUUAAAAGAUAUCAACACAUGGAAAAUAUUUAAAGCCAGGAGAACAAAAGAAAUCACCAAGGAAAGGAGGGCUGGGAGAAUAUGGAGACACUGAUAUUUUGAGAUAAAGAAUAUGAAGAAGGUUUUACAAAGGACUCCAACAAGAUGCAGCCAGUGAGAAACUGUGCCCAGGAAGCCAAGUGAAGAGAAAGUGCUUCUAGAUAGAAAAGUAGUUUAUCUGUGUUGUACUUUGCUGGCAGGUCAGGAAAAUGGAAGAUUUCUAUAUUACCACUGGAUUUGUCAAUGGCAAGGUCAUGAGAGACUAUGACAGUAGUAGUACCAACAGAGUGGUAGGUUUCGAUGUCUCAUGUAGUGGGCUCAAGAGAAAAUGGGAGCAGAGAAAGUGGUGGCCAGAAUGCAGGAUGCUAAAAUUGAGAUCUGGCAAGUGCAGUUACAGAUAACAACAGCCUAGGGUUUAACUGUAAUAAUUGGUGGCUGAGCUUGGCUGAUGGUUGAGAUCACUGAAGUUGAGAAUGGUCAAAGGACUGACAGUGUGUGCUUAUUUUUCCACAUAUUAAUUCAACUGUACUAGCCAGUUAAUGAAAAGCAUACAGAGGUAGAAAAAUAAUACAGGUUACUCACAAAAAUUAGAAAUUAAAAAAUAUUAAUACAGGUCAUAGAAAUUAAAUCAUAUUUUUCAAGAAGUUUUAUGUUUUUGGUAGUUAAUCUUAAAGGAAAAUAAAACUAUUAUUUUAUCUCUUACUUAAACAUGCUCAAUGCUCAAAUAUAUCAAUUUUGGCAGAAAACAUUUGAAGGCAGAAGAUUUUGGCCCUGAUAGGUAAAUCAUUUAGAUAUGGCCUAUGGCCUGCUAUCAUUUUUACUAUAUAUCAGUGUAGGUAGUACUAGCUGAAAACAGAAUAUUUUAUUAAUUUGGUAACAAGAGAAAACAGACACUUAUAUUUCCUAAAUCUGUUCAUAAAAUUUAUACAGCUGUAUUUCACAUACAUAGCUAUUUUAAUCAUUUUCAAUCAAGAUUUCUUAAAAGACCAUAAGGGAAAAAUACAUAUCCAUCUUAAGUUCCUUAUGUAAAUUCUGUGUUUCAAAACCCACUUCCUUUAGAAAAACAAAAUCAGCCCAGUUAAUAUCUCCAAAACGAAUAUUCCUUUAGCAUACACAGAUUGUGUAAGGCAGCAAUUGAGAGAUGAGACUCUAGUUUAAGAGCUCUGCUUAUGAAGUUAAAGUACUAGCUCUACCACUUGGUACCAGGGUGAAUUGAAGUAGAUUCUAAAUCUCAGCUUCAUUAUCUAUAAGAGGAAGAUACCUGCUUGUUUAACUUCAAACAAGAAAAUUCCUGUAAAGUGCUUAAAACAUAGUAAAUAUUCAACAACUGUUAACCUGUACUAUAACCAUAACCAUGAAGUGUCUAAAAUUCCUGACUUGACUAAUUUUUGCAAACCUUUUUGCUUAAGAAGAAGACUCAUUCUACCACAGACUUUCAAAUUUUUUAAACUAAGAGCUAUAGUAAGAAAUUGUGACCCAGGAAAUAAACAUAUAUGUUGAUAUUUUGUAUUCUAAUAUCUCCCAUUCAAUUUUCUUUACUCCCAAAACUGUUUAAUGAACCACCAAAAUAUCAACAAUCCAGUUUGAAAAACAAUGAUUUAAUACAGUAAAAAAUUAUAGCUAUGCAAAAAUUGGGUUCAUAUAUAAUGUUAAAGUACAUAUCCAAUUUAUCUAGCAUUUUAAAGUAUUAGUAUAUAUGUUGAUUAAAAUCUAUGCUAGAUUGUAAACUUUUUGAAGCAGUGAUCCUUUAUAAAUUACAUAUCUUCGUGACAAAUUCUUACACAGUUCUUAUCAUGAGAACCCAUAAUUCUUGUUUUGAAUUCAGAAAUUAAAUCAGUUGCUGAUUUUCCUGAGUUUCAAAAUACCUAGUAUAAUAAUGUUCUAAAAUAAUAUCUCUGAUGGUCUCAUAUUUAAUUUUCCUAUCAAAAUGAGGCAGGGAGAGAAGAAAAUACCAAACUUUAAAAAUAACUAGAAAACAUUAUUUUAAGAGGUAGCUUCUCAUUUAUAUUCCAAUUGGCUAUAAACUUCAGAGACGACUCUCUGAAUUAAUUUUAACAGACUACCCUUAUUAAAUUUAUAGACUCUUCUCAUGUACAUAUUCAUAUGAUUAAAAUAAUUUUCAUAUGUUGAAAACUUUGUUUUUAAUAUGUAGAAAUAUCUUAUUUUCCUGAAUAUAUUCUACAAAUGUGGAAAUUCAAAAGUCAAGCAAUUUAUCUGUAAUAAUAAUUAUAAUAAAACUUACAUAUGAAAUUCCUUAUCUUUUAAGCAUUCAUUUUAGAAAGAUGACUCUAUGGGCUUUUUUUUUUUUUUUUGAGAUAAAGUCUCACUCUGUUGCCAGGCUAGAGUACAGAGGUACGGUUUCGGCCCACUGCAACCUCCACCUC
rnacentral:lncRNA from 10 species